UACGUAGGGUGCAAGCGUUAAUCGGAAUUACUGGGCGUAAAGCGUGCGCAGGCGGUUUUGUAAGUCUGUCGUGAAAUCCCCGGGCUCAACCUGGGAAUUGCGAUGGAGACUGCAAGGCUAGAAUCUGGGCAGAGGGGGGUAGAAUUCCACGUGUAGCAGUGAAAUGCGUAGAGAUGUGGAGGAACACCGAUGGCGAAGGCAGCCCCCUGGGUCAAGAUUGACGCUCAUG
rnacentral:rRNA from 1 species